CAUGAAGUCGGAAUUGCUAGUAAUCGCAGAUCAGCAUGCUGUGGUGAAUACGUUCCCGGGCCUUGUACACACCGCCCGUCACACCAUGGGAGUCGGUAACACCCAAAGUUGGUAGUCUAACCGCAAGGAGGACGCCGCCUAAGGUGGGAUUGAUGACUGGGGUGAAGUCGUAACAAGGUAAC
rnacentral:rRNA from 1 species